rnacentral:rRNA from 1 species
AAGUUAGAAUCUUUAUUUUAAUUUUAUUAAAACUUGAACUAAAGCAUUAAGAGGAUGCCUUAACAUCAAAUAAACGGCGUUAAAUACGAAAAUUCUGUAAUUAAUUAUUAAUUUAAUUCGUAAUUACAGGUUCCUAUUAACAGAAAACUGAACUUUUUAUUUAAGUAUAUUAAUUUUAUUAAAAAUUAAUAUUAAAUUUAGUGAACUGAAACAUCUCAGUAACUAGAUAAAAAAUCAACCGAGAUACGGCAAGUAGUGGCGAGCGAAAACCGUACAGUAAUGGGUUAUAAAAAUGAAAUAAAAAAAUUAUUUGAAAAAAAAUACCAGAGAAGGUUUUAGUCCUGUAAAAUAAUACUAAUCAUAUUUAUAUAAGUAAAACAAUUUAUGUCGUGUUUUGUUUGAAUAUUGGGGAACCACCCUCAAAACCUAGCAUAAUAUUUUGAUGAUUGAUAGUGUAAAAGUACCGUGAGGGAAAGGUGAAAUAGAAUUUGAGAAAUUGAAAUAGAAACUGAAACUUAUUGCUUUCAAUUAGUUGAAGCUAUAAAAUAAAAUAGUAACAGCGUACCUUUUGCAUAAUGGAUCAACGAGUUUAUUUUUGUGGCGAGCUUAAGCUAAGUAAGUGUAGGCGAAAAAAAUUUAAGUUUUAAAACGCAUUUUUAAAUUUAGUCUCAAGAAUAAGACCCGAAACUAAGUGAUCUAAUCAUGAACAGGUUGAAAAUUUUAAGCGGCAACGCUUAUUGGAGGACCGAACUUUUGUAUGUGGAAAAAUACUAAGAUGAUUUGUGAUUAGGGGUGAAAGGCCAAUCAAACUUAGAGAUAGCUGGUUUUCUGCGAAAUCUAUUUUAGUAGAGCGUUUAUAUUCUUUAUUUUAAGGUAGAGCUACUUAAUAAGCGAAGGGAACUUAAUUGUUUUUACUAAGUUUAAUAAAACUCCGAAUAUAAAAUAAAAGAAUUUAAGCAGACAGACUAUAGAUGCUAAGAUCUAUAGUCAAGAGGGAAACAGCCCAGACUAUUAAUUAAGGUCCUUAAAAAUAAUUAAGUGAAAAAAAUAGUGAAAAAAUUAAUACAAUUAAUAGGUAGGCUUGGAAGCAGCCAUCCUUUAAAGAAAGCGUAACAGCUCAUUAAUCUAGUUUUUUUGCGUUUAAAAUGUACAGGGGCUUAAAUUAUUUACCGAAAUUAUAGAUUUAAGUAAUUUAAAAUUAUUUAAAUGGUAGCAGAACGUUCUGUAUUGUCUUGAAGGUUUAUAUUAAUAUAAUACUGGAGAUAUCAGAAUUGAAAAUGUUGAUAUGAGUAGCGAGAACAAUGUGAAAAACAUUGUCACUUUAAGUUGAAGGUUUUUAAGGUAAAGCUAAUCUUCCUUAAAAAAAUUAAAUCGGCCCCUAAAAAUUUAAAACGAAAGUUUUUUUUGAUGGGAAAAAAUUUAAAUUAUUUAUAUUAGUAAAUUUAUAUGUGACAAAUUAUAAAUAAUAUUUUUAGUAUUUGGUUCUAAUAAAAGUAUUAUAGUAAUUUCAAGAAAUAGCAUAUGAAAAUUAGUAAUAAAUACCGUACCUUAAACCGACACAGGUGAACAGAUUUAGUAAAUUAAAGUGAUUGAGUUAAUUAUAUUGAAGGAACUCGGCAAAAUGACUCUGUAACUUCGGGAUAAAGAGUAGCUUUUAUAAGGGAAACCUCUAAAAGCUGUCACAAAAUCGAGGACAGCGACUGUUUAACAAAAACACAGGUCUCUGCAAAUUCGUAAGAAGACGUAUAGGGACUGACGCCUGCCCAGUGCUGAAAGAAUAAUAGAAAAAGUCUAGGCUUUAACUUGAAACCCUCGGUAAACGGCGGCUGUAAUUCUGACGGUCCAAAGGUAGCGAAAUUCCUUGGCAUUUAAUUGGUGUCCUGCAUGAAUGGCGUAACGACUGUCCUACUGUCUCCAAUAUAAUCUCAGUGAAAUUAAAAUCUCCGUGAAGAUGCGGAGUACCUACGGCUAGACGGAAAGACCCCGUGCACCUUUACUAUAACUAUGCAUUGCGAUAAUUAUUUAUAUAUGUAGUAAUAAGUGGGAAGUUUAUUUUUUUUUUGCUCAGGCAAAUUAUUAAAAACUAAAAGUGAAAGACCACUUCUAUAAAUUUUUCAUCACUAAUAAAAUUUAAAAAACAUUGCAUAGUUGGUAGUUUGACUGGGGCGGUCGCCUCCUAAAGAGUAACGGAGGCGUACUAAGGUAAGUUCAGAUCGAAAAUAUUUCGAUUGUAGAGCAUAAUAGUAUAUUGCUUGCUUGAUUGUAAGAUUGACAAAUCGAACAAGGACGAAAGUCGGUUAUAGUGAUCCGAUAAUUCUUUGUGGAAAAGGUUAUCGCUCAACGGAUAAAAGGUACGCCGGGGAUAACAGGCUAAUCACUCUCUAGAGACCCUAUCGACGGAGUGGUUUGGCACCUCGAUGUUGGAUUAUCACAUCCUGAUGCUGAAAAAGGUUUCAAGGGUUUGGCUGUUCGCCAAGUAAAGUGGUACAUGAUCUGAGUUCAGAACGUCGUGAGACAGUUUGGUCCCUAUCUACCGUAGGCGUUAGAAAAUUGAAAGGAGUAGACCUCAGUACGAGAGGACCGGGGAAAGUAAACCUAUGGUGUAUCGAUUGUUAUACCUAUAGCAUAGUCGAGUAGCUAAGUUUAUUAUUCUGGUAACUGGAGAGAUCAUAUAGUACUACAAUCGCAACUAUCACACCCACUCAUUGUCGGUUCGCAGGGUACAAAGACGGAAAAAGAAGAUCGAGCUAUUGAGCUACUUAAUCCAGCGUUAGUUGAAUCAUUA